rnacentral:rRNA from 1 species
CCUACGGGUGGCAGCAGUGGGGAAUAUUGCACAAUGGGGGGAACCCUGAUGCAGCGAUGCCGCGUGGAGGAAGAAGGCUUUCGGAUUGUAAACUCCUUUUAUCAGGGACGAUAAUGACGGUAUCUGAAGAAAAAGCUCCGGCAAACUACGUGCCAGCAGCCGCGGUAAUACGGAGGGAGCGAGCGUUGUCCGGAAUUACUGGGUGUAAAGGGAGCGUAGGGGGGACGGCAAGUCAGUUGUGAAAACUGGGGGCUCAACCUUCAAACUGCAUUUGAAACUGGUGUUCUUGAGUGAAGUAGAGGUAAGCGGAAUUCGUGGUGUAGCGGUGAAAUGCGUAGAUAUUAGGAAGAACAUCGAUGGCGAAGGCAGCUUACUGGGCUUUUACUGACGCUGAGGCUCGAAAGCGUGGGGAGCAAACAGGAUUAGAUACCCGUGUAGUC